AGUAAAUGAAAUACACAGAAGAAAUUACUGUUUUUACUGAAGAAAGUGUAUUGAAGAGUCGUUAUAAACUACUGUUCACCAAAUAUGAGAACACUUUUGUGGACCACGCAAGAGAAGACAUUUUAGUCCACAUAAUAUUUGUGAUAGUGUGAAGAUGGAGAGCAGUAUGAAGAUUUCAUGGAUGUAGCAAGAGAACUGUUGGUGUUGAUGAAUAAGAUAUAUGAAAAGAAGACUAAAGACUGGGAAGGGGAUUGUCAAGAAUGUUGCUCAGAUUUUUUGGCUCAAAUUUUUAAAUACAUAAUGGCAAGAUAAGUCUGGGAUUGGUUUUUGGUCCUACAGUUUCAGUGAUAGCUUUAUUUGUCCAGCUCAAGUAUGAUUUUUGAUAUCUGGCCAAGCAAGGCAGGGCUGGCAGAUGGGUGGUUAUAUUGUGAAUAGCAAACUGCUUCACUUGUAUAUUGAUGCCUUACUGUCCAUGAAGCAUUAUUGGGAUGUGAGUCACUAAAUUCUCAGUCAGUUUUUUGAUCACUUACUAUACAUUUGUGUUCAGGACUAGCAUAACCAAUAUUUAAAACCUGAACCAGCUAUGUAGCCCUUGAGAAUUCUGAAAAUGAAGUAUUUGAAGACAAAUUGACUAGACUAGUUAAUCUUAGGGCAUGUAAAGGUAAUUUUUUCUGUUUGCCAGGGAUUGCUGGUAGCAUAACUCCAAUCUCUGCUCUGUCUCUAUUGUGUCCUUAAUAUCCAUAUGCUUCUAAUAUCCAUAAGCUUCUUUCUGUCCAAUAUCCUUUCCUUUCAUAGGUCAUUGUAUUAGGACCUCUCUAAUCUAGUAUGAUCUCAAUUGCAUUGCAUCUACAAAUGUGAUGUUUCCAUUUGAACUUAUACCAAUGGGUCACAGGUACUAGUACAUCAAUGCUCUUUUAUAGAGAAUACAACUCAACCCAGAAUCUGUAUGAUAAGAGUAAUAACCUGUCAUAAAUUUGCUGUGAAUAUGUAUUUGAUAACUCACAAAAUGACUGCAAAAUUCAUGGUAUGAAUAAAAAUUUCAGUGAAUAUAGAUAUCA
rnacentral:lncRNA from 1 species